rnacentral:rRNA from 1 species
UACAGAGGUCCCAAGCGUUGUUCGGAUUCAUUGGGCGUAAAGGGUGCGUAGGUGGCGCGCUAAGUCAGGUGUGAAAUCUCGGAGCUUAACUCCGAAACUGCAUUCGAUACUGCCGUGCUUGAGGACUGGAGAGGAGACUGGAAUUUACGGUGUAGCGGUGAAAUGCGUAGAUAUCGUAAGGAAGACCAGUGGCGAAGGCGGGUCUCUGGACAGUUCCUGACGCUGAGGCACGAAGGUCAGGGGAGCAAACGGG